UGAAAAUGAGCACAUGGUGGAGUCAGCUAACUGGCUGAGGAUAAACCAGACUUUCUGGAUUUCCAACCCUUAUCCAGACCUCAGGAUGUCCUACUGAAGAGCAUCUGCCACCACCACCCAUCACCUCUAUGGCCUAACCUCGCUUUCCCACCACCACCACCUGCCCAUAAUCUUCAUGGUCUGACCUUGCUUUCUCACACCCAUACCUGCAGCUGAUGCUUUGGAACUGAUUCCCAUCUGCCUGACACUUGGAGAUGCCCUCUAUCUCUGGACUUCCUUUCUGGAACUGCUAAGAAUAAGCAUUUGCAUGGAUUGGGGAGGUUCCCUUGGACCAUACUUGACCACCCGGAGCUUGUAAGGAGAGGCUGAUGACUGGGAAGCCAUCUGGUAGAGUGUGCUGAAGUCUCCUUUGGGGUCAUCCAUUCGCAAGGAGCCAUCAGCUGUGCCAGGGAGCAGGGAUGGGCUGAGAAGUCGCUCUUGGAGAUCACAUUUCAGGCACACUACAAUAAAAAUGGCAUUAGGGGGAGGGAUUGUUUGUCACAAGUUAUCUCAGGGUAUGUGAUUAAGAGACAACAUCUGCCUCCCAUUCCACCUCCACCAGGCAAAUAAGGGCUGGGAGGAGGCAGGGGAAUGUAAAGAGGAAAGUAUGAUUGGUUUGGGAAGGCACAGCAGGUCUGGAACCUACAGUGUUGCUCUACACAGUAGUUAACUUAUUUUUUGGUUAUGAACAAUUUUUAUUUGUUUUACUUUGGGCUGGCUGAAGAGUUGCCACAUAGUGAGAGAUCUGGCUUGUGAUCCAGUCUGAGAGGAACAUUAGCCUCUUCAGAGGAAGCAGCUAACCCUUUGCAAUCACAGAAGGAAAUCUUGCCUCUGUUGCUUCCCUGUGGCUAAGUUUUGGCAAGACUACAUGUCAGAUGAAGGAAGAGCAGGAAAGCAGAAGUCAGGCCGUCAGCUGACAGCUGUUAUUUCUCUGUGGGCUCUUCUAGGGACAUUCGGGGUGGGGGGAGGAUUAAGUUCCUGAAAUGGUUUAUUUUUUAAUUCCCCAAAGAAACCCAAGUACAGAACUUCCUGGGCCUUGGAGCAUCACUGUGGCACCAGAGAACAGUUCUGGUGGGGGCUUCGGCUAGAUCUCAACUGUGCCUGAGCAACUGGAUUCCAGGGAAGACCUCCCCAGCAGAAGCGCUGACAAGUCUGGAUCUAAGUUCUACCUUGCGCCCUGAAGACCUGUGGAUUUCCAAAGCACGACUGUGGAGGGAGAUAAAUAUUCUGGCUCUGACCCUGGUGCUGAAAGCCAUGGAAGAGGGAGAGGAAGAGUAGAGAAAUUAUCCUGACAACCACGGGCAAAUGCUGUGCAACAGUUGAAGAAAGGCUGGGUGCAGGGACUGCUGGCUUUAGAGGUCUCAGCCCUCCUAACGAGAGAAGUGUUCCACAAGGCAGCCUGCAUAGUAGGUUAUGGCUCAGGCUCUGGAGGCAGAUAAGAACUGUUCUCUAGGCUGAGAGUCAAAUGUACAAAAUACAGAAUUCUGAUCUUAAGGGUUAAGAGCGGGCUCUGGAGUUGCCUGACUUCAAAUUCUGGCUCUGCUAUUAACUUUCUAGGCAGCCUUUAAGAAAAUGUUCAGUUUCUUAAAGUCUCAGUUUUCUCAUCUGCAAAAGAGGGAUAAUAUUGUAUUUAAUUAUUCUAAAACACAUUUUUUUUCACAUGCUAACAUCUCUAUAUGUGUCUUACAAUCACCACUGGCCAGGAAGACAAUCUUAACCCUUACUUACUAUUCUAAUCUAAAAAAGCUUUCUCAGUAAGGAUAAAAUAGUAUUUCUAAGUGAUGAGAAAGCAUGGUGACAUGCUUAAUUGGCAGGGAUUUUCUUUCUUGGUGGUGUGUAAAAUAACAGUGUAUCUUAUCAUUGAGAGCAUCUUAGACUCAAUGACACAUGGCAACAGCACUUGCUCUGUGGUGUUGUGUGAAGAUGAGAUGGGAUAAUGCAAGGCAAGGAGUUAACAUAAUGCUUGGGAGCAAAUACAUAAGAAAUGGCUUCCAGAGGAUGGGAUGGAGGAAUUGGUACUAUGUGCCUUGGACUAAAGGAGCAGGAAGGAGGUUCCAGGAAGAAGAGUUUACACAGAAAGGAAAGAUAGGUUAAAAUCAAGGUAAAUUGUCAAAGGCAUCCCAGGCUUUAGGUUGAAGUGGGGAAAGGAGCAGGAGGAUUAAGACGGAAGGCUGUCCCCAGAAAGGACAGAUCACAGUGUCUCACCCUUUGAGGGUGAAGUUUGUUCUGAUUUUUCUCAUUGAACUCCUGCCCAUAAAGGGGGAAGACACACCUUGGUCCUUUCCCUUUGGAGCUGGGCCCUAAGGAGAUAGGUUUUCCAAGCUCAGUGUGGCUGACUAUACUCAUGGGCCCAUUUGUAGGCCCUGCCACCCUGGGUUCUGAGCCAGCCUUCAAGUGGGAUGGGAGAAUAGAAAUGGCCUUUUCUCUCCCAUCUGAUUAACCUGGAACUCAGUAUGACUGCCAGCCAGAAUGACAUCCAGAACCUUGUUGGUAUGCCCAGGUACUGGACUGAUCUCUUGGCUUCCACAAUUGCCAGAACAUACUUUGUGAAUAUGGUAUUAAGGUACUAGUUGACCUCCAUAGGGCCUGCCUCUGUGAAUGCUUUAGUUCCCCCCAGUUUGCUGUCUUCCUAUCCAUAAAACCUCUUCUUAAUCAUGGUUCUUUAUUAUCCUCACAGACCCUGUUGAUAUUGUGGUUACCAGCAUGCCUCAAAUUAUAAUAUCAAUAAUAUCUACCACAUUAAAACGAAAAACUUGAGAAAAACAUACUAUUCAUUGUGCUCUUUUGUAGUGUGGUCCUACCCUAUUAUUUAGGUACCUAAAAGCCUUUGCUCCUAAACUAAUUGGACCUUGUUGUCUGGGUUUAAUUAGGUUCAUUUUUUUACAUGUGGUCAUUUUUUGAAAUUCUUUUCUUACUCCUUAUGCUUACAGUGGACAGCCUUCUCCAAUCCCUAAACCUCAACUACUUUGUAUUUUGAUGACUCACCAAUCUACAGUCUUAAUCCCAGACUAGGAUAAUCAUAGCCUAUAUAAUAUGUCUUUUGGGAGGUAUGUACUUGAAUUAUCUCUGGCUCUGGAAAUGUUGCUCAAACACCGUGAAGGAAGAAGAAGAUGGAUAUAUUCUUGGUCUGUU